rnacentral:rRNA from 1 species
GGAUAUCUUGGCUCUUGCAACGAUGAAGAACGCAGCGAAAUGCGAUACCUAGUGUGAAUUGCAGAAUUCCGCGAAUCAUCGAGUUUUUGAACGCAAGUUGCGCCCGAGGCUCGUCCGAGGGCAUGCCUGCCUGAGCGUCCAC